UUCAUAUCCUUCAAAGGAAAAGAGGCUGGGUGCAGUGGCACACUCCUGUAAUCCCAGCAGCUUGGGAGGCUGAGGCAGGAGGAU
rnacentral:miRNA from 1 species